GCCAGCGGGCUGUAGAGGUUUGAGCACUGGACUACAACUCUGGAGACCAGGGUUCAAAUCCCCACUUGGCC